rnacentral:rRNA from 1 species
UACGUAGGGGGCUAGCGUUGUCCGGAAUCAUUGGGCGUAAAGCGCGUGUAGGCGGUUCGGUAAGUCCGCUGUGAAAGUCGGGGGCUCAACCCUCGGAUGCCGGUGGAUACUGUCGGACUAGAGUACGGAAGAGGCGAGUGGAAUUCCCGGUGUAGCGGUGAAAUGCGCAGAUAUCGGGAAGAACACCUAUGGCGAAGGCAGCUCUCUGGGACGGUACUGACGCUGAGACGCGAAAGCGUGGGGAGCGAACAGG